AAUCUCGUAGUUUAAAAAAAUAUAAAAUUGCAAAUUUUAAGUAGAUUAAGAUAAUCCGAAAUUU
rnacentral:tRNA from 1 species